AUUGAACGCUGGCGGCAGGCCUAACACAUGCAAGUCGAGCGGAGCUUCGGACGGGUGGUUACUGCCUAGGAAUCUGCCUGGUAGUGGGGUAUCCCGUCCGGAAACGUGCGCUAAUACCGCAUACUAUCAGAUCAGCCUCGGUGGUCGUAGCUAGUUGGUGGGGUAAAGGCCUACCAAGGAGACGAUCCGUAACUGGUCUGAGAGGAUGAUCAGUCACACUGGAACUGAGACACGGUCCAGACUCCUACGGGAGGCAGCAGUGGGGAAUAUUGGACAAUGGGCGAAAGCCUGAUGCAGCCAUGCCGCGUGAGUGAAGAAGGCUUUCGGGUUGUAAAGCACUUUCAGCGGGGAGGCGUUACCCGCAGAAGAAGCAACGGCUAACUCCGUGCCAGCCGCCGCGGUAAUUC
rnacentral:rRNA from 1 species